CAAUAGCGUAUAUUAAAGUUGUUGCAGUUAAAAAGCUCGUAGUUGGAUUUGUGGUGUGUCCAGUCGGCCUUUGCUCUCUGAGUGAUUGCGCUGUACUGGUCUGCCAUGUUUGGGUGGAAUCUGUGUGGCAUUAAGUUGUCGUGCAGGGGAUGCCCAUCGUUUACUGUGAAAAAAUUAGAGUGUUCAAAGCAGGCUUAUGCCGUUGAAUAUAUUAGCAUGGAAUAAUGAUAUAGGACCUUGGUACUAUUUUGUUGGUUUGCGCACUAAGGUAAUGAUUAAGAGGGACAGUUGGGGGUAUUUGUAUUCCAUUGUCAGAGGUGAAAUUCUUAGAUUUUUGGAAGACAAACUACUGCGAAAGCAUUUACCAAGGAUGUUUUCAUUA
rnacentral:rRNA from 1 species